rnacentral:tRNA from 1 species
GGGGCUGGGGCUCAGUGGUAGAGCGCUCGUCUAGCACGUGUGAGGCCCUGGGUUCGAUCCUCAGCACCA